CUCAGACUGACGAUUCCUGAAAAGACUACAAGAGGUACAAAAUUAGUCUCAUGGGACUCCUGAUCUCUAAAUACUUCAUGUGAGUCACUCUUGUAAAGUUUACCAAAGAAAACCCACUCUCCAACACUAAAUAUAAGCUUGAUAUGGGAACCCUGCAGGAGAGGAAGCUGAUAAAACCGCAGAUUUCUAAUGAAAAGUGUAUUUUUUGAAAUCUCAGAUACCAGACGAGGAGUUUGAUUCAUUCUUGAGGCUUUUCUUGAAUCCACUGACAGAACGACGACAGCUGCUGCUGCGUCAGAUACUUCCGUUCAUGGAGAUUAGUCUCUCUUUAAAGUGUUACUCCGUUUACUCUCAGUCUGUCUGCUGCAAAGAAGCGGAAUAAUCAAAUCCCGCAGGUCACGCACAGGCCGCGCAGGAGGAGCCGCCUGAAGAUCAGGAGAGCUUCAGGUUAUCUCUGCAGGUUUUAAAGGCGUCUGCGGGAUGCACAGGAGUUCGCCGCUCUCACCUAGGAGUGUGACCGGCUCGAUCAAGCGUUUGACAGGGGUGUUAGUGACGGUAGCGUUGUCACGUGCAUGUUUACAUUCUACGGUCAUUUGAUACACAGACUUGAUGCGCCGCAGUCGGUUCUCUGUUUCAGUGAGGGGGUCAGGACUGAGGAUUUUUGUAGGCAAGUUCAACUGGGAGGAAAGAAGCUGGAGGGAUUUGCAGAUGAGAGGGACCUGCUCAGGUGAAGAUGGAUGAAGCUUUGUGACCUUUACUCUGCAUGUUUUGGUUUUACUUUUGAGGAGCUGUGAACUCCUCCAUCUUAGAUGACUUUCAGUUUGAACAGAGGAGACAGUUUAGUGCCGUUUGAGGUCUUCACUUUGGAUUGCAAAUGUCUUUCCAUGUGUUUGUAUUGACUUUGUGUAUCUCUCAGAGUCAGUCUCACAUCUGCAGCUCAUUUCCAGUCUCUGAUUUUUUUGUUGUUGUUGAAGGAGUGAGCGUAGCAUCGGACCAUCACGGCAUCCAGCUCUGUGUUUAUCUCGGACUCUUAAACAAAAUCCUCCCGGUUCCUGCCCGCUCAACGCCUCAAAUCCACAAUCUUCUUUCCAAUUGCUGCUCUGCUCUCGGCUCUUCCACUGCCAAAAAAAGUGAUCCUCCGUCUGUUUACUGUGUGAUGAGGAAGAUCCAUUUCUCAAGAG